rnacentral:rRNA from 1 species
AGAGUUUGAUCCUGGCUCAGAUUGAACGCUGGCGGCAUGCCUUACACAUGCAAGUCGAACGGCAGCACGGGGGGUAACCCCUGGUGGCGAGUGGCGAACGGGUGAGUAAUAUAUCGGAACGUGCCCUGUAGCGGGGGAUAACCUAUCGAAAGAUGGACUAAUACCGCAUACGCUCUACGGAGGAAAGCGGGGGUCGCAAGACCUCGCACUAUAGGAGCGGCCGAUAUCGGAUUAGCUAGUUGGCGGGGUAAAAGCCCACCAAGGCGACGAUCCGUAGCUGGUCUGAGAGGAUGAUCAGCCACACUGGAACUGAGACACGGUCCAGACUCCUACGGGAGGCAGCAGUGGGGAAUUUUGGACAAUGGGCGCAAGCCUGAUCCAGCCAUGCCGCGUGAGUGAAGAAGGCCUUCGGGUUGUAAAGCUCUUUCGGCAGGAACGAAAUGGUUCGUGCUAAUACCACGGACUGAUGACGGUACCUGAAGAAGAAGCACCGGCUAACUACGUGCCAGCAGCCGCGGUAAUACGUAGGGUGCAGGCGUUAAUCGGAAUUACUGGGCGUAAAGCGUGCGCAGGCGGUUUCUUAAGUCAGAUGUGAAAGCCCCGGGCUUAACCUGGGAACUGCGUUUGAAACUGGGAGACUUGAGUGUGGCAGAGGGGGGUGGAAUUCCACGUGUAGCAGUGAAAUGCGUAGAUAUGUGGAGGAACACCGAUGGCGAAGGCAGCCCCCUGGGUUAACACUGACGCUCAUGCACGAAAGCGUGGGGAGCAAACAGGAUUAGAUACCCUAGUAGUCC